AAGGGACUGUCCAAUGGAUUAUGGUCUGAACAAAAUAUAAAAUUAUUGUUUUAGAUAUUAAAAACGAUUAUCGCCUUUGAUUUAAGGAUAUAAAAACUCAAAGCAGACUAAAGGAAGUAUAACACAAACCAACACAUAAGCCCAAGCGGAUGGGAAUUCCAUAUUAUAUUUCAAAAACGCCGCUCGACGUUUUUGACCUAAAAAUAAAUGUAGCUGAAAAUCAGCUGACAAGUCACGUGGUACAUGGUACUGUCAUUUAUUUUUGGCAUAGAAAUUACAUUAUUUCUAAAGAAAGAGAUUUAGCUUGUUGAGCAAAUAAUUGAUUUUCAUUGAAUAUUUUUGAUAAACCAAUAAAAUAUACUUCAUAUUUAAAUCAAUAUUUUUAUUGGAAAAUCACUUUUCACAAAUACGAAUAUGCGGUCGAAAAGAAUUCAAGAUGGUUCGGACAAAAACAAGUGCUAGCGCUAAGACUAAAAAAAAACAAGAGAUGCAAGGUACAGGCGUAAUAAAAGGGAAAGGAUAAUAGACAUUGGUAUUCAGUGUGAUCGAUGGAGAAGAGUUAAAGAAGCUACUGGGAUUGAAAAGGACGAGAAAAUGAUGGAAAUAUUGAUCGAUGCAACUACUUCUGAACUAGAGAGCUUCAACAAUCAUCUUUUGAUACGCUCCAAACCAAAGCGAAAUGCUUUCAGCUGUGCAGGUGUCAGUUAGCAGCAAUAGAUUAUUCAAAACACUUGAAUCGUCCUGUUUUGUUGGACAAAGAAGGAAAUGAGAGGAGAAAAAAGGUGUACUCAAAAGCUGCUUGUAAUUGGAGCACAAGGCCUGUGAAAAAAACAUACAUAACCGGUUUGAUCACUGAAGUUAUAAAUGAAUUCACCAUAGGCAAGAAAAGAAUAAGUGGCAAAUGUGAACAGCUGCCUGAAGACUCCAAAAGAAUUAGGUCAACUAUAGCCCCCGUCACCCCUCCACCUACAUCAAUACUUGGAGAUCAGCAUGUCUCUAGAUUGAGAAAAGCGAAAAAAUGAAUUGUUGCCCAAGACGUGUUUGAUAUUCAUUUGAAGUUGACGCAGAAGUUAUCUUUGUUAGAUAACUAUUAAGUUUCACAUCUUUAGUGUAAAUAUAAUUUUAGAAGUGUUUUGAAAAUGUACAAUCUUACAUUAUGUUAUAAAUAAUGAAUGCUCUUGGUUGUACAAUGCAAUUACAUUUUUUAGGAAGUUUUAAUAUUGAAUUUAGCAUAAAAUAUUUUUUUUAUGUUAUAUUUUGUGCGUUUUUUAUCAAUUCAUUUUUAUGCUCCCCCAAAAUUUAUUUUGGGGGGAGCAUAUAGUUGCCGCUUCGUCUGUCCGUCCGUGUGUCCGUCUGUGCACAAUUUUUGUCCAAGCUAUUUCUCAGAAAGUAAUGACCGGAAUUCAAUGAAACUUUAUGGGAAGCUUCACUACCAAGAGGAGAUGUGCAUAUUAUCAGCCGGUUCUCUUCAGAUGAUUUUUCACAGAGUUAUGGCCCUUUGAAAUUUUCCAUUGUACAUAUAGUGCAAUUCUUGUCCGGGCUAUUUCUCAGCAACUAAUGACUGGAAUUCUAUGAAACUUUAUGGGAAGCUUCACUACCAAGAGGAGAUGUGCAUAUUAUCAGCCGGUUCUCAUCCGAUGAUUUUUCACAGAGUUAUGGCCCUUUGAAAUUUUCCAUUGCACAUAUAGUGCAAUGCUUGUCCGAGCUAUUUCUCAGCAACUUAUUACAGUAAUUCAAUGAAACUUGAUGGGAAGCUUCACUACCAACAGGAGAUGUGCAUAUUAUCAGCCGGUUCUGGUCGGAUGAUUUUUCACAGAGUUAUGGCCCUUUGAAAUUUUCUAUAAACUGUACAUAUAGUGCAAUUCUUGUCCAGGCUAUUUCUCCCCAACUACUGACCGGAAUUCAAUGAAGCUUUAAUCCAUCCAUCGUAUAAUUUUGUCCACAGUUAUGCCCCUUAAGACGUUUCCUUUUAUCUGAAUAUAUAGUACAAUAUUGUGACAAAAAAACACUUUUGGGGAGCAUCACCAGUCUACACCGGUUUCUUGUUACACAUGUAAAAACUACAAUUUUUCUUACAAAAUGUUUAGUUUUUUGUUUGAUUAUCGAUAUGUGUUUUUCAUUGCCUUCUUUAUUACCUGUAUUUAAUAAACCAUUGUAGUCAAUGUCUCUAAGCCUCUUAUAAUUGACCUCGAGAGUAGUUUCCUCUUUAAUUAUCGAUACUAUGAAUGUGAUAGUGUAUCCAGAUAUGCCUCAGUGUUCUAUUUACACAUCAACAUUUAAUACUUUUUAAUGGCCAUACUCAUUUGAAAUGCAAAUCACCUAAAUAAUUAAAUGCCAGCAUCAUACACUCGAACCAACUUCAAUGAGUUCUCAACUCCUGUCACAUUUCUAUGUGCAUGUAUUGAGUUCGAUCCAUUUUCUGACACCAGAUGAAUAUAAUACAAAA